AAAAGUAAGUAAGGGCAGACGGUGGAUGCCUAGGCUCUCGGAGGCGAAGAAGGACGUGAUAAGCUGCGAAAAGCUGCGGGAAUCGGCACAUACGAAUUGAUCCGCAGAUAUCCGAAUGGGGCAACCCGUCAGGCCAAGGCCUGACACAUGAAUUGAUUUCAUGAGCGAACGCGGGGAACUGAAACAUCUCAUUACCCGUAGGAGAAGAAAACAAAAGUGAUUCCCUCAGUAGUGGCGAGCGAACGGGGAUUAGCCCAAACCGGCUUUGUUUCGGCAAAGUCGGGGUAAUAGGACUUCGACAAAAGUUUAAUGGUUAGAUAUAGGAGAACCUACUGGAAAGUAUGGCCGAAGAGCAUGAAAGCUGCGUAUCCGACAUAUCGAACAAUAGACGACGGAGCACCUGAGUAGCGCGGGACACGAGACAUCCUGUGUGAAUUGGCGGGGCCCAUCCCGUAAGGCUAAAUACUCCCGAGAGACCGAUAGUGAACCAGUACCGUGAGGGAAAGGUGAAAAGAACCUCGAACAGAGGAGUGCAAUAGACCCUGAACCCGUCUGCCUACAAGCGGUAGGAGCGCCAUUAAGGUGUGACUGCGUGCCUUUUGCAUAAUGAACCUACGAGUUACUGUUUGUGGCAAGGUUAAUUGUUAUAAUCAAGACAAGGAGCCGAAGCGAAAGCGAGUCUUAAAAGGGCGCCCAUUUAGUCACGAGCAGUAGACGCGAAACCAAGUGAUCUACCCUUGGUCAGGUUGAAGGUUAGGUAACACUAACUGGAGGACCGAAUCGGUAAGCGUUGAAAAGCUUUCGAAUGAACUGAGGGUAGGGGUGAAAGGCUAAUCAAACUUGGAGAUAGCUCGUACUCCCCGAAAUGCAUUUAGGUGCAGCCUGUUGGAUGUUAUCAUGAGGUAGAGCGACUGAUUGGAUGCGAGGGUUUCACCGCCUAUCAAGUCCAGAUAAACUCCGAAUGCAUGAUAAUUGACCGAUGGAGUGAGGGCAUGGGUGCUAAGGUCCAUGUCCGAGAGGAGAAGAAUCCGGACCACCGGCUAAGGUCCCGAAAUAAUUGCUAAGUUGUAAAAACGAAGUCAAGAUGCAGAGACAGCUAGGAUGUUGGCUUGGAAGCAGCCAUUCAUUUAAAGAGUGCGUAACAGCUCACUAGUCGAGGAUUUUGGCAUGGAUAAUACACGGGCAUAAGCAAUUUACCGAAGCCGUGGGAUAUAAUAAUAUAUCGGUAGGGGAGCAUUCCAGCGACGUAGAAGGGAAAAGGGCGACUUUUUCUGGAGUUUCUGGAAAAGCAAAUGUAGGUAUAAGUAACGAUAAAGGGGGCGAGAACCCCCCUCGCCGAAAGACCAAGGUUUCCUGAUCAACGCUAAUCGGAUCAGGGUUAGUCGGGGCCUAAGGAUAAGCCGAAUGGCGAUUCCGAUGGAAGAACCGGUUAAUAUUCCGGUACUGAUACAGAGAGCGAUGUGGUGACGGAGAAGUGACAGUCCGGCCGUCUGACGGAAUAGGCGGUUAAAGGGUGUAGAUGUUGAUCGGGGUAGGCAAAUCCGCCCUGAGAGUCGAACCUGAUAGUACCCGGAGUACAUGUACGAAGGGAUAAGGACGUAAACCGGCUCCCAAGAAAACCCGCUAAGCAUAUUUCUGUGUUACCCGUACCGUAAACCGACACAGGUGGUUGGGUUGAGUAUACUAAGGCGCUCGAGAGAUUCGCGGUUAAGGAACUAGGCAAAAUGGUCCUGUAACUUCGGGAGAAAGGACGCCUGUCUCCGGACAGGCCGCAGAAACCAGGCCCAGGCGACUGUUUAACAAAAACACAAGGCUAUGCAAAAAAGCAAUUUGAGGUAUAUAGUCUGACACCUGCCCGGUGCUGGAAGGUUAAGAGGAGGAGUCAUCGUCAAGAGAAGCUCUGAAUUGAAGCCCCAGUAAACGGCGGCCGUAACUAUAACGGUCCUAAGGUAGCGAAAUUCCUUGUCGGGUAAGUUCCGACCUGCACGAAUGGUGUAACGAUCUGGGCACUGUCUCAACCGCGAUCUCGGUGAAAUUGUAGUAUCGGUGAAGAUGCCGAUUACCCGCAACGGGACGAAAAGACCCCGUGAACCUUUACUAUAGCUUUACAUUGUAUUUGGGCAUCAGAUGUGUAGGAUAGGCCGGAGGCAGAGAAGCGGGUACGCCAGUAUUCGUGGAGUCGAUGUUGAAAUACGG
rnacentral:rRNA from 1 species